CUGAGACACUGCUGAAUGUAGAAACUCUAUGCUCCUACAGAUUCUACGUCUUUUUCAACAGUUUCAUCAGGAAAUUGCACCUACACAGCAACUGCAUGGCAUCAACAUCUGUGAUCCCAAAGGCAGAAUCAAGAUGGCACAAAGGAAAGCGUGGGCACCGCCGCCCCAGCCCGGCCGCCCGUAACCGCGGUACCUCAGGAGAGACCGCCAACCCCGCAGCCAGAAGGACCACGCCGCCA